rnacentral:rRNA from 1 species
AUUGAACGCUGGCGGCAUGCCUUACACAUGCAAGUCGAACGGUAACAGGUCUUCGGAUGCUGACGAGUGGCGAACGGGUGAGUAAUACAUCGGGACGUGCCUAGUAGUGGGGGAUAACUACUCGAAAGAGUGGCUAAUACCGCAUGAGAUCUACGGAUGAAAGCAGGGGGUCGCAAGACCUUGUGCUACUAGAGCGGCCGAUGGCAGAUUAGGUAGUUGGUGGGAUAAAAGCUUACCAAGCCGACGAUCUGUAGCUGGUCUGAGAGGACGAUCAGACGCACGGGGACUGAGAAACGGCCCAAAGUGCUACGGGAGGCAGCAGUGGGGAAUUUUGGACAAUGGGCGCAAGCCUGAUCCGGCAAUGCCGCGUGCAGGAUAAAGGCCUUCGGGUUGUAAACUGCUUGUGUACGGAACGAAAAGCCCUGGGUUAAUACCCGGGGGUCAUGACGGUACCGUAAGAAUAAGCACCGGCUAACUACGUGCCAGCCGCCGCUGUAA